UACGGAGGGUGCGAGCGUUGUCCGGAUUUAUUGGGCGUAAAAGGCUUGUAGGCGGCCACGCUGCGUCGGCUGUGAAAGCUCCCGGCUUAACUGGGAGAGGGCAGGCGAUACGGGCGGCUCGAGGCCAGUAGGGGGACGCGGGAAUUCCCGGUGUAGUGGUGGAAUGCGUAGAUAUCGGGAGGAACACCAGUGGCGAAGGCGGCGUCCUGGACUGGUACUGACGCUGAGGAGCGAAAGCGUGGGGAGCGAUCCGG
rnacentral:rRNA from 1 species